AUUGAACGCUGGCGGCAUGCUUUACACAUGCAAGUCGAACGGUAACAGGCCUUCGGGUGCUGACGAGUGGCGAACGGGUGAGUAAUGCAUCGGAACGUACCCAGAGGUGGGGGAUAACGCAGCGAAAGCUGUGCUAAUACCGCAUGUGAUCUGAGGAUGAAAGCGGGGGACCGAGCAGCAAUGUUUGGCCUCGCGCCUUUGGAGCGGCCGAUGUCGGAUUAGCUAGUUGGUGGGGUAAAGGCCUACCAAGGCGACGAUCCGUAGCUGGUCUGAGAGGACGACCAGCCACACUGGGACUGAGACACGGCCCAGACUCCUACGGGAGGCAGCAGUGGGGAAUUUUGGACAAUGGGCGCAAGCCUGAUCCAGCAAUGCCGCGUGCGGGAAGAAGGCCUUCGGGUUGUAAACCGCUUUUGGCAGGAACGAAACGGUGUCCGCUAAUACCGGGCGCUAAUGACGGUACCUGCAGAAUAAGCACCGGCUAACUA
rnacentral:rRNA from 1 species